rnacentral:rRNA from 1 species
CAGCCGCCGCGGGAAAACGGAGGGUGCAAGCGUUAUCCGGAUUCACUGGGUUUAAAGGGUGCGUAGGCGGGCAGGUAAGUCAGUGGUGAAAUCUUCGAGCUUAACUCGGAAACUGCCGUUGAUACUAUCUGUCUUGAAUAACGUUGAGGUGAGCGGAAUAUGUCAUGUAGCGGUGAAAUGCUUAGAUAUGACAUAGAACACCGAUUGCGAAGGCAGCUCACUAAACGCUCAUUGACGCUGUGGCACGAAAGCGUGGGGAUCAAACAGGAUUAGAUACCCGUGUAGUCCCUGUCUCUUAUAC